rnacentral:rRNA from 1 species
UACGUAGGGGGCUAGCGUUGUCCGGAAUCAUUGGGCGUAAAGCGCGUGUAGGCGGUCCGGUAAGUCCGCUGUGAAAGUCGGGGGCUCAACCCUCGAAUGCCGGCCGAUACUGCCGGGCUAGAGUCCGGAAGAGGUGAGUGGAAUUCCUGGUGUAGCGGUGAAAUGCGCAGAUAUCAGGAGGAACACCGAUGGCGAAGGCAGCUCACUGGCCCGGUACUGACGCUGAGGUGCGAAAGCGUGGGGAGCAAACAGG